rnacentral:lncRNA from 1 species
UAAAAGGACACACUAAUUAUUUUAAAACGCACUUUCUUUUGCCAUUACAUCAGUAUGUUUUUAAUUGAACCACACACACAAACAGGAGUACACGCCGGAGCACGCACACAACACACACCAUAGCGCGCGCGCACACACACACACACGAGCACCCACAAGGUGUGCAUGCACACACAAACGAGACAACACACCCAGCACGCACGGACCAACGCACUAAUUUUUAUUUUAAUAAUUGCUUUUCUAAUGCUCUUUCUUAAUUUUGAACUUCUCUGAAAGUCUUCUUCGAACUUCUGAAUAUCUUUUUAUAGCUUCUAGCCUUCAGCUUCCAGUGGCCGAGCAUUCAGUCAGCUGAAAUCUGAAGUAGCAUUCAGUUAUCCGAACUUUGAAGUAUACUACUGCAGCUCUAGAGCAACCUCUCUGAUUCAGUUAUCUGAACUCUGACUAAAACAAUUCAAUGCACGAGCGCUUCAUGUGCUAGCAGCAGGCGCUGAAGCUUCCUGGUAGGUGUUGCAGCCUACAUGCAGCAUUCAUCCGUUGUUAGCAUUAGAAACAUGUGAUAGCCACAACAUGGGUAAUCAACUAAUCUACCAGCAAUUACAUGUCACUUCCGAAUCCUACGAUGUGCAACCACACGAGUUCUCCAGCAAGCAAUUAAACUGAAUUAGCCGCAAAAAAGCAAUUAAACUGAAUUCACCUGGGCCAUGGAGACGGAGAUGUUGGCAGGGAUGCGGAACAUUGUCGGCGGAGUUCUACACCUCCAAGAAGAGCUUGUAGACCUUGGCGGUGACCAAAGACAUGUCAGGCGCCUCGUGGUCCUUGGUCAUGCACUACAGCACCAGCGGUGUGAGCAACUUCGUCGUGUCAAUGAGGAACUUCAUAACCUGGAGUUUUCAACUUGCAAAAGGAAGG